GAGAGUCAAAGAGACCGCGAAACCGUUGGGAGGGAAACGAAUGCGGCCAUAAAGACUACAUUCGGGUUCAGGGUGUCUCGGUUUCGGCGUUGUCACCGGUGAGAACCUGUUUCGGGUCUCUCCGGAGCAAGCGUGCCGAGGCUCCCGCACUCCCGUCUGUAGUCCGCCAACGGCGGUCACAUGCGAUCCAACAGGGUCGUGGGGUUAGGUGCCUCUUGCGUUGGCAUCCUUCGGGUUGUCGAGCGGGAGAACUUACAGCCCUUGGCUCGGAGAUCGCAGGUGUCCGAGGAGCGUUUGCGACCAGUUNSCACGGKGKARCGCAGGCUCCCUGGGGGCCGGGUCGCUCUUGGGCCUGAGUGCUUCGCGACGUGCCACUGCAUGCAGUGACCGUUGACGAUAAUGCGCGCUCGCCUUCGAGGUCGGCCACGAUGUGCGCUGUAGUCGUUGGUGUACGCAUGGCUCCAUCCGACCCGUCU
rnacentral:rRNA from 1 species